rnacentral:lncRNA from 1 species
NNNNNNNNNNNNNNNNNNNNGGGCAGUUUGGGGGGUAUACGGGGGGGGUUUGGGGUAAUUGGAAGGUUUUGGGGUAAUUGGGGGAGUUUUGGGGGCAAUUGGGGGUGUUUUGGGAUCAGGGGGCGGGCGGUGGUGUCGCACGGCCUCAUGUCUGGGUGCUUCCCUGUGGCGUUGCACACCCACAUUAGUGUUGCACGCCCGUGGGGUGUCGUGUUCCCGUGUUGCACACCCAUGGGGUGUCGUGUUCCCGUGUUUCCCCUGGCGUCGCACACCCUCGUGGUGUUGCACGCCCAUAGGGUGCUGUGUUCUCGUGUUGCACGCCCAUGGGGUGUCGUGGUCUCGUGUUGCACACCCAUGGGGUGUCGUGUUCUCGUGUUUCCCCUGGCGUCGCACACCCUCGUGGCGUUGCACGCCCUCACGGCUUUGCACACCCAUGGGGUGUUGCGUUCUCGUGCUUCCCCCAUGGCGUUGCACGCUCUCAUGGCGUUGCACACCCGUGUGGUGUUGCGUUCUCGUGUUGCACGCCCGUGGCUCGUUGCGUUCUCGUGCUUCCCCCAUGGCGUUGCACACCCUCGUGGCGUUGCACACCCGUCGCGUGUCGCGUUCCUGUGCUUCUCCGUGGCUCUCAGCGUUGCACGUCCACGGGGCGUUGCACUCCCACGUGUCUCCACAGCUCCGUGCCCUCGGGCUGUUGCACGCCCUCGUGCUGUUGCACACCCUCGGGCUGUUGCACGCCUGUGCCCUUGCACGGCCCCGUGCCCUUGCACAACUUCCUGUAGUUGCACUCCCCAGUGCCCUUGCACGUGCUCAUGCAAUCACAUGCCUGGGUGCCCUUGCACGCCCUUGUGUAAUUGCACGCCUGUGUGCCCUUGCACGUCUGUGUGCCCUUGCACAACCUCAUGCUCUUGCACGCCCUUGUGUAAUUGCAUGCACCAGCGCCCUUGCACGCCUGUGUGCCCUUGUACAACCUCAUGCCCUUGCACACUCUUGUGUAAUUGCAUGUCCCAGCGCCCUUGCACGCCUGUGUGCCUUUGCACAACCUCAUGCCCUUGCACACCCUUGUGUAAUUGCAUGUCCCAGCGGCCUUGCAUGCCUGUGUGCCCUUGCACGCCCUUGUGUAAUUGCAUGUCCCAGCGCCCUUGCACGCCCUUGUGCCCUUGCACGCCCUUGUGCCCUUGCACGCCUGUGUGCCCUUGCACAACCUCACGCCCUUGCACACCCUUGUGUAAUUGCAUGUCCCAGUGCCCUUGCACACCCUUGUGCCCUUGCACACCCUUGUGCCCUUGCACGCCCUGGUGCCCUUGCACGCCUGUGUGCCCUUGCACACCCGCGUGCCCUUGCGUGUGCUCACAGAGUUGCACACCCCCCGUGCCCUUGCACGCCCCCAUGCACUCACACGUCCCCAUGCCCUUGCACACCCGCAUGUCCUUGCACGUGCUCGUGCCCUUGCACACCCCGGUGCCCUUGCACACCCGCCCCCCCCAUGACAACCGUUGCCAUGACGACGGCUCCCUCCCCCCCGGGCUGUAUCCGGGGGGGGGGGCCGCGUCGCCAUGGCAACGCCGGGCGGCUGACCCGUUGCCGGGGUGUGGCGGCGCCGUGGCAACGGUUGCCGGGGCCCCCCUGGUUGCCGUGGCGACGGCCGGUCCGCCUGUCGCCCUGGCAACCGUUGCCGCGGGGAUGGCGACGGCCCCGGCGUCCUUG